rfam:Candidatus Synechococcus spongiarum isolate 1 genome assembly, contig: NODE_200220_length_49500_cov_12
GGGCGAUUAGCUCAGGGGUAGAGCACACCGUUGACAUCGGUGGAGUCACUGGUUCAAAUCCAGUAUCGCCCA